UGGUUCUAAUGAAAAUGGUACAUGCAUACAUUCCACGGUCCAAAUGAAAAACAUGACACAUGCCACAUGCCACGGUCCAAAUGAAAAAUACAAGAUGUUCGGUCAACGAAAGUCAACGGCUUAUCACAACAUAAACACACGUUUGAUCGGCGAAUGCUCCAAGCAUGUUUGCGGGCUGCACAGAGUGGAGGAGACUUGUGGCAGCAAAGCGUGGUCGCCCGUCUUCCGCGAGAUCAGGUCCCUAUAAUAAAACAGAUGAAUUGGUCCAAGGGUUAGAUGCGGAAAAACAAUGAACAAAUGGAUGCAUAAGAAGCUAGCUCCAUAAUUUCCUUGCUUAAAUAAUGAGAAACUACAAACAGAAUUUCAUUGCUUAGAUGUUUAACAAAUUUUCAUAUUGUAUUAUAUAAUCUGAGCAUGGAAGAUAGUACUAGCAGACUAGACUAGACGACACAUAUAAGGCUGGUCAUAGUGAGAGCAACUUAUGUAGUAACAUAACGCAUUUCAAGAAAACUUUGCUUAUGUGGCAUGUAGUUAAUGAUGAAAGAGGUGUUUAGAGUAACAUAAUAUGUUACUGUAACAUAGCGCUUCCCGAGAAAGGAUGAGUCUACAAGCUAAUAAAUGAAUCCAUCUAUGACACUACUAAUAUGUUACUUUGCACUAUGAAAGUAGUAACUUAAACCAGUGUCAUAUGCAUGACACUAGUAUAUGUUACUCCCCACUAUGACCAGCUUAAUUAGAGUAGAGAACCAAUGUUGCCAUAAAUGAGAACCAAUGUUCCCAUAAAUUAAACUAGAGCCAUAUAGACUAGAUGUCAGAUAUAACUUUUCUGCCAACAAUGGAAUCAGGAAUGCAUACGCUUCGCCAGUCCAGGGUCCAUAUAUAUGUAUGCACAGAUUCGAAAAUGAGAAGGCUCAAGCUUGGAAAAAAGACUUGAAGUUACAGGGAACAGUCUCAACCUGAAGACAAAAGAGGUGAUAAAUGAAAUAUGAUUAUAGGUAGCAAAAGAUUCAUCAGCAGUUCCCCAAGCACCGAAAUGGCAUGUAAUUAAUGCUACGAGAGCCAAUUUCAUCUACUGCAAGAACAAGCAAGGAUGAAUACAGGGCUUAAGCUGGACAUAUGACAAGGAUGAGGCCACCAUACUCAAUCGUAGACAUAGCAAAACAAGGUAUAAAUUUGUGCCACCAGCAGGCACAUGACAAGGAUUAGGACACAUGACUUACACACCUAUCAUCUCCCAGCAGGUAUUUUCGGAAUGAGACUAGAUGAGAUGAUAUAUACCACAGCCUGCCCAGUACAAGCCUUGACAAACGGUGGCACAUGACGGACCUAGCAAAUCAGUGUCAUUCUUCUCAAUAGAAAUGGGCAAUCGAUCAGUAGCAUAAGAAAUGGAUACGUAGGGACGGAUGAAAGGAUCAGAACAGGGUAUUGUUGUGUGCCAGGGGCCUGACUACUUAGCUGCUUAGACCUCCGAUGAAAUGAGUCGCCUCGCCUCUCCGGAAGAUCAUAGAUGACAUUUAAUAAAACAGCAGGGGCGUGCAGUUCAGUUUGUCAAAUAACCAAAGCCUUUUAAACAGAAAUGAUAUACUGACAAAGAAAGAAAUUCAGUUGUUAUAUUCAGUUUGUCAACAUUAGAAGACCAAUUAUAUGUUCAGCUCACUUAGUUGUUAUAAGAUCAGUGGCAAACAAAGAAAUAUAUUCAGCUCACUUAGUUGUCACCAUCAGACCAAAUUCAUCAAGCACAACACAUACAAAAGAUCAAAUAUAACUACGCUUAAUAUGAUUCGUCACAAAUUCAGAGUAGCAUAUAUUGUUCCAUUAACAGAUCAAGCAGCACCAGAGAAACAUCCUCGUACAACCAACCACGACUACGCACUAAUCAUCAUCCAUCCAUCCAACGAUUCCCAACAUCCACAUCAGACCAUGAAAUUGAUCAACCGCGUGAUCAACAGUGGUCACCAGGAGGGGGGCGAACUUGGCUAACUUGGUGACGGGCAGUUUGGACCGGCAGCUCAGAGACGGCGUCGCCGGGGAGAGACGAGGUAGCAGCCAUGGCCGGGCGGAUAGAAAACCCUAGACGACGAGGGGAGGAGAGGGGAGACGAGGCGAGGACUUAC
rnacentral:lncRNA from 1 species